rnacentral:lncRNA from 1 species
UAGGACUUCCUUCCUGAGUUAUGUAAUAAACCGCCUCAAGUGUCAAGAUUGAUCAUAGCUUUUCUCAUAUUUGGGCGUGUCAGAGUUCCUAAAGGACCUUUAGGGAUCCAGGGCAGUGCUCACACCCAGAUUGCAUAACCAUGACAAAGUGAGUGCUGUGUGGAAAAGCCAGCUUUUAUCUAUCCAACUUUAGAGGAAACUCAAGGGUCCCAAGGCAAGACUCACACAAAAGGGGAAGAACAUAGUGGUCUAAGAGUAUAGGUGAGAGUGCUUGACAUGGAUGUAAAAGAGUUGAGUUGGAAACAAUGUUGAAAAAGAUUAGUUUAAAAUAAGUUUUGGAAGGCAGUAGAAGAGUUUGCCUUAGUGAAAGAGAAGAAACAGGACAAUCAACAACUCAAAAUAAAUCAACAUACAUAGUUCAAACACAAACAAGGAAGGGACGAAUUGGGAACAUACAGGUUUGAAACCACAUAAUUGGGAAAACAUUUGAUGCAACGAAUAUACAGAACAACUAUGAACCCAUUGAACAAAUCAGUUAUGGUAACAGACAUUUAAAACGCAGGGAAGAGUGCUGUAAGAUCAUGUUGAAGACAAGGGUUUUGUUGGACAAAGUACUACAUGGUUAUACCAGUUUAGGAGGGGUAAGAGGAUUAAGUAAACAUGAUGGACAAGUGUCAAAGAACUAAGUAAAGUUUAAUAUGAUGAUUAUACACAAGGCAAGAAUUUAGAUAUGUUUGAUAACAUCAAACAUAAAAACAAAUUGAAUAACUAGUACAGUAACAAACAUGGAUGUAUAGGCAUGGAACACAUAAAGUUGAGUUUCAAAUUUAAACUAGAGACAUACCAGUUGAAGAAGUAAAGUGUAGAAAGUAAAGCAAGUGGAGUUCCACAGUCUAGCCUUGGCUUUCAGCCGGCUAGACAAGUAGUUAGCACAAGUGGCAGAGAAAGAGGAGAGAAUGAAUUUGAGUGUGUAUGUGUGUAUUUUGAACUGUUGUUCGUGUGUUAAGACUGUAGAAGAGAGUCAUUUAUAUAGUUGUUUGAAAAUUGGUUCAAAUAAGGCAGGAAUCAAUUCUUCAGUAAUUAUAGAACUCAGUAUAAAAUAAUUGGUGCGAGUCUCCCUUGAUUAAUGGAGUUAGUGUGAAUGGUAAAAUACAUAUGGCAAGUAAGGAAAGAAAUCGUACAUGGUUGGCGUAUAACAAAUAAGGAAAGAUUUCAAAAAUAAUACCAGUAUAGAAUGGGUAAUUAAGGCUAGGUUCAGAAAGUUUUCAAGGAGACAAUCAGUAGCAAUGCAGACAAAAGGCAAGGCGAAUUUAUUAAGGUAAGCAACUAAUCAAAUUAAGUGAAAAGGUAGGGGUCGAGAUUCAAUAGCAUAGAGUAGGACCAAAUUGGUAAAGCCCUGAUUAAGGACACAACUUAGUAGAAAAAAUAAGUAUCAUAGAAACUAUGGUAAGUUAAUUAGUCAGGUUAACAGACGGGGCAAAGCUUUUAGGAUUUUUGAAAGAAAAUUUUCAAUCACCAUUGAUUAAAGAAACCAGACUCGAUCAAAAUGGCUCAUGACUCUACACUUUCAACAUAUAAAUAGAGGAGGUCCACAGAUGUAGCAAAUAAAACAUAUUCGAAGCAUAAUCACAGAAAGAAGCAAGGCAUAGUCACACAAAAAUGACAUAAGUAGGCUAGGGAUUUCAGAAAAACAUAUUUGAAGCAGGGUAAUCAUAGGACUAAAGGAAGCAGGCUAACACAGAGACACAAAGUAAAGAAAACAUGCUAACACUCAGAGAAGCAGAGUACGGAAAAUCAUAUUAGCAUUCAUAAAAACAAAGUAAAGAAAAUAUUUUAAAAAAAGAGCUUUUUAACAGAGUCAAGUUAAAAGUGGUAAAAGCACAAAAUCAGUCAAAACAAAUAAGGGAAAGGUGUUUAAUCAUAACAAAAUCAGUUAGAACAUGCCUAAAAGAACUCCGAGAAACCCCAGUUUUAGAAAAAAAAUGACUAAAAAUCGAAAUAGUUAGUUAAAACAGGAGAUUUUUAAAGGAAAACGCCUAAUAAUACUCGAAUCACUUCAAAUCUAUAAAGAUCUAAGAAGAAUCGAACAUUAGUAAACUAGGGUUUCAAAAAAUAGUAGAGGCAAAUAGAAUCAGUUAAAAACUCAUAGAUUCAAACAAAAAAAAACAAGAGGAAUUCUUUUCUAACAAAUGAAAAUGGCCGAAGAUAGGCCAGUAAGCGAGUUUUAAACCGGAACAGGUUGGCUUUCCUUGAGAUCUUCUCAAGGACUCAUGAAAUCGAAGAGUCAUGGAGUAUAUGAGAUAGGAGGUGGUCAGAGAAGGUAUGAAAACACCAUAUGAAGGAGGUUCUCUCCGGUGAUAGCAAUUAGGGUUAGGGUGAGUUGAGAGAGAACUUGGGAGAUGAGGGAUUCAGAG